UGCAAUUUGGAUUACCCUUCGCUUUGGAUUUGGAUUAACCUUCGCUCUCGCAAUAGAGGAUUACCAAUUUGGAUUACAGGACUACCCUCUGCAGCGCCUUUGAAUGGAUAAACAAAGUGCAUGUCCUACAUGGAUUACAGCCGUAUAGCGCAUCAUAAAAGAGUUUCAAAAUCAAAAUUGAGGAAUACCAAUUAGAGGAUAAGGAUAUUUAAGGAUCAACAAAAAAAAAAACAAAAAAAACACCAAAUCAAUAGACGGUUAUUUUGGCCAAGAAAAAGCAACAAACAGAGGAACAGAGGAACAGAGAGCGGAAAAACAAAACGCGGGAAAUCAUUUUAUACCUCACACCACUACACACGUAACGUAACGUCACGUAACGUAACGCAACGUAACUGUACAUUGUACUUAAGUGUUCAAAAAGGAAGGGUUAAUUAGUUUACUUUGUAUAUAAGGAAAAGUAGCUAAAAGCACAAGGAA